rnacentral:rRNA from 1 species
UACGAAGGGGGCUAGCGUUGCUCGGAAUUACUGGGCGUAAAGCGCACGUAGGCGGCUUUGUAAGUUAGAGGUGAAAGCCCAGGGCUUAACCCUGGAAUUGCCUUUAAGACUGCAUCGCUAGAAUCGUGGAGAGGUGAGUGGAAUUCCGAGUGUAGAGGUGAAAUUCGUAGAUAUUCGGAAGAACACCAGUGGCGAAGGCGGCUCACUGGAGCACGUAUUGACGCUGAGGUGCGAAAGCGUGGGGAGCAAACAGG